GAUCCUGGCUCAGGAUGAACGCUGGCGGCGUGCUUAACACAUGCAAGUCGAACGGGAAUUACUUUAUUGAAACUUCGGUCGAUUUAAUUUAAUUCUAGUGGUGGACGGGUGAGUAACGCGUGGGUAACCUGCCUUGUACAGGGGGAUAACAGUCAGAAAUGACUGCUAAUACCGCAUAAGCGCACAGGACCGCAUGGUCCGGUGUGAAAAACUCCGGUGGUAUAAGAUGGACCCGCGUUGGAUUAGCUUGUUGGUGGGG
rnacentral:rRNA from 1 species